rnacentral:lncRNA from 1 species
AAUCCAAAACUUAAAAUCUGAAAUUUAUAAAAAUUGAAAGGGAGCUUACAUCAAUAGAUAUAAACAAUUCACCAAAGUUUGAUGGACAUUGGUGAAAGCCUUUUUGAGUUAUUGUCCGGAGUGUUGAAAAUCCCCCUUUUUUUAUGAAUAAAGCCCCAUAAAUCCAAAACUUAAAAUCUGAAAUUAAAAAAAAACAAAAGGGGGCUUACAUCAAUAGAUAUAAACAAUUCACUUAAGUUUCAUGGACAGUGGUGAAAGCCUUUUUGAGUUAUUGUCCGAAGUGUUGAAAAUCCCCCUUUUUUUUAUGAAUAAAGCCCCAUAAAUCCAAAACUUAAAAUCUGAAAUUUAUAAAAAUUGAAAGGAGCUUAUAUCAAUAGAUAUAAACAAUUCACCAAAGUUUCAUGGACAUUGGUGAAAGCCUUUUUGAGUUAUUGUCCGGAGUGUUGAAAAUCCCCCUUUUUUUAUGAAUAAAGC